rnacentral:rRNA from 1 species
AACGAACGCUGGCGGCAUGCCUAACACAUGCAAGUCGAACGAGAUCUUCGGGUCUAGUGGCGCACGGGUGCGUAACGCGUGGGAAUCUGCCCUUUGGUUCGGAAUAACAGUUGGAGACGACUGCUAAUACCGGAUGAUGACGAAAGUCCAAAGAUUUAUCGCCAGAGGAUGAGCCCGCGUAGGAUUAGCUAGUUGGUGUGGUAAAGGCGCACCAAGGCGACGAUCCUUAGCUGGUCUGGGAGGAUGAUCAGCCACACUGGGACUGAGACACGGCCCAGACUCCUACGGGAGGCGGCAGUGGGGAAUAUUGGACAAUGGGCGAAAGCCUGAUCCAGCAAUGCCGCGUGAGUGAUGAAGGCCUUAGGGUUGUAAAGCUCUUUUACCCGGGAUGAUAAUGACAGUACCGGGAGAAUAAGCUCCGGCUAACUCCGUGCCAGCCGCCGCCGUAA